rnacentral:rRNA from 1 species
GAUGAAUGCUGGCGGCGUGCCUAACACAUGCAAGUCGAGCGGCAGCGAGGGGUGCUUGCACCCUGUCGGCGAGCGGCGAGCGGCUGAGUAACGCGUAGGAAUUUGCCCCAAAGUGAGGAAUAACUGCCCGAAAGGGUAGCUAAUGCCGCAUAUGGUCUUCGGAUUAAAGGAUUUAUCCGCUUUGGGAGAAGCCUGCGUUGGAUUAGGUUGUUGGUAGGGUAAUGGCCUACCAAGCCGACGAUCCAUAGCUGGUCUGAGAGGAUGAUCAGCCAGACUGGAACUGAGACACGGUCCAGACUCCUACGGGAGGCAGCAGUGAGGAAUCUUCCACAAUGGGCGAAAGCCUGAUGGAGCAACGCCGCGUGAAGGAUGAAGGCCUUCGGGUUGUAAACUUCUUUUAUGAGUGAAGAAUAUGACGGUAACUCGUGAAUAAGCACCGGCUAACUACGUG